CCCUUAGAUGUUCUGGGCCGCACGCGCGCUACAAUGAUGCAGCCAACGAGUGCUGCUCCUUAGCCGAAAGGCUUGGGGAACCUUGAAAACUGCAUCGUGCUAGGGAUAGAUGAUUGCAAUCGUGCAUCUUGAACGAGGAAUGCCUUGUAAGCGUGAGUCAUCAACUCGCGCUGAAUACGUCCCUGCCCUUUGUACACACCGUUCGUUGUUUUUACCGAUUGGAUGGUCCGGUGAAUUGAUCGGACUGAUGAAUAUUUUCGCGGGUGCGAAAUUAUCACAGAAAGUUCAAUAAGUUUUAUUAUUUAGAGGAAGGAGAAGUCGUAACA
rnacentral:rRNA from 1 species